CUAGGUCGUGAGUAAGAAGAGUAAAGAAGGAAUUAGCGAGGGGGGGGGGGAUGAGAUCGUAUCAGCCGCAUGGUUACCCGAGCCACGAAGCCUCCUCCGGCCCAACUUUGCAUUUGCUGAAAGGAACAAAGGCCGAACGACGAGACGGUGCAAUAAAAACAACCGGAUCGAAGGCAACUGGAAGUGAUGAAGGACUCGCUCACACUUACGUCGACGCGCGUUUCGAAUCACAGUGAUGUACGAUCCGCGGCCAUCAGCCAGGCCGACAUUGAUCAGGAGCGGCUGCCAGCGCGCCGUCAAAUCAAUCACGGCGAUUGAUUCAGCAGCUCGAGGAGAAUGCAUGAAUGCAUGAAUGCAUGAAUGCACGGCGCAGGGUUUAACGUUGAGCACCGCAAGAAGAACACGUCGAUGUGACGUUAACAACCAUCACCCUUGAUCAUGACGGUAUCGGUAUCAUAUUAUUAAUAAGUCAGAGAAGGUUGAUCCGAAUCUCAGGGGACGGGUUUGGAGGAGAGACGAGCGGCUGCACGUCCCGACACACACUGGCGAGAGUGAUCCUCAGAUUCAUUCCAACAACUGCUUAUGUGCUUUGGCAGCAGUUUGUGAAUAAUGCUCAUCACCCCCCCUCCCCCUCACCCGCCCCCCC
ensembl:lncRNA